ensembl:lncRNA
ACGUGGUGGUGAAGAUUUAGGUCCACCAGUCUUAGCGGCUACAAGUACACCUCUCUGAACAGUGUCUGGGAGGCUGUGGUUGCUGCUGCACGCAAUGUUGAUGGUGAACAGAUCAAAACACUGACAGAAUCCAUGGAUGGCAGGCUUUUGAGUGUCCUUGCAAAGAAAGAACAGUUCUCCACAGUCGCUGUCCACAUGGGUCAGUGGGACAAAGAAGCGCUCUGCUAAUGUGUGGACUCUGACCAGCAACAUCCAGCAAGACCCAGACAGCGUUUUCUAUCUCCCAGCUGGAGUUUUUUGUUUGUCUGUGACUGGAGAGUCAGAUUUUUGUUGAGCUUCACACUUGCAGAGUCUGAUGAUGGGACAUCGUGCUCUGCAUCUUCAAAGUUUGCCUCCUCGUUAUUAUUCAUACCCAGUAAUGUGAAGUAUGCUUAUAUCUACCGUAGCUGCCUCCACCAGUGUGUGAAUGUGAGAGUGAAUGAAUAGUGGCAUUGUAAAGCGCUUUGGGUGCCUUGAAAAGCGCUAUAUAAAUCCAAUCCAUUAUUAUCUACUAUAACUGAACCAACCUGGUGCUCUUCAUUUAUGGAGGCUGUUGAGUCUGAAUGUUGGAUAUUGUGUAUCUCGUGUUCUCUGGGCUUUGUUGUCCUCAGUUUUUUUGCAGGAUCAGAAAACAAAACCAGGAGGCGUGUAAAUGUUUCUUCUCCAUGAUGUUUCUUCAAAUGUUUCUUCUGGAUGAUGAUAAGACUGUGACACGGGAUGCCACCUUUGGUCACCUUUGAUGAAGCAAAGCUCAGGAAGAAGUCUGAUUAAAUGGUACCCACAUGUUGAGGGAUGUACAGGGGCACCUGCAGCCAAAUCCAAGCUUCAGCAGUUUGUGCUCACAGAUGGUGACAGUGUGGAGAGACGGUGGUGUUUCCUCAGAAGAACCAGCAGAGUCACAAAGGACACCAGUCCAUCUCACCACCUUGACUUGCUGACUGAUGUUCGUCUGCACUGCACAGAGGAAAUCAACUGACCGAGAUGGGCAGGAUAUCAGUCUUGGACUGUCUAACCUGCCGGAACAGCACUGAAUGAUCACCACACAUGAGCAUGUUCCUGCAACAUGCAGCAUCUGAUCCUUCAUCUGUGUGCUUCUGCUUUUGUGUCACAUGUCAAACAGCUGGAGAGGAAACUACACCAGUGUACUGGGAUGUUUCAGCAACACGUGCCAGAUGCUGUUCCUUCAUGGUGACAUCACCAGAGACAGCCCCACCCACCUCAGGACCUCGCCAUUGAUCAUGAUGAUUAUAAUGAUGACAGCGAGCGGAACUAAGACUGUAAAAAUCCACGACCAGAAUUUUUCUUUCUAAUUAUUAAUGAAUACUGAGAGCCUCUUUCUGUGUUUUGUCUGUUUUUUGUUUUGUUUUUAAAACCUCAUUUGUUACUAACAAAGUUCACCAAACUCACACAGUUUACAUUCUGUAUGUUUCCAUCUUUACCAGCCACACUCUAACUGCAUUUAAGAAAAUAAUCCUUAGAAAUCGUCGUUUUUCUCUUUUGCAAUUGAUGAUAAUUCAGUGAAUAAACUGCUGUUUGAAUUCUCUGUAUGUUUGACCCUGUAGACUGUUUGAUGGACUGCUUGUCUUCCUGUUUGUUACCGCCGCCUGUUUUUUGACUAAAGAUUUGGAUUUCU